CACACACACACACACACACGAGUUCAGGGACCAGGGUUGCAUGAAAUCAGUGCUCAUGUGUUGGCUUCCUUUUUACAUACAUGGUUUAACCAGGAAUCCUGAGAUCAUCCCUCUGCCCAAGUACCAUGGGUAUGGUCAGCUGAUGGGGGUGUCCUCCCCUAGUUUGGUACCCAACUCUUCAGGUUGUGUGUGUGGACACACACACUCAGGGGAAGGGUCAUGAGAAGGACCUGAGUGAUAUCACUGAGAAGGCAAAGGUUUGCAAGGACUGUAUUAUCUUUGCUCUGUCGACUUGGACUUAACCCUAUAAAAAGAGGAAAGAGAACAGAAUUAAUGAAAGCAUCAAGUUCGGGGUCCUGUGUAGAAGGAGUCACUACCACAGUUUAAGGAGAAUGAAUCGGUGACUUUAAAGGCUUCCAGGCAUAAUUGGAUGGAGUGGGACAGUCAGUGUGUCCGCUGUAACUCUGAAGUGGACGAGGAUUGUCUUAGCUGAAAACGAAACAAACCCUUUGGGACGCUGUUGACAAAAAUGCCAAAGAAGAAAAAGUGUGCCCACUCUGGCCACCGAAGACACUAGAGCAAUGCCGUCUGAAAUACAGAUGCCAUUUUCAUUCUUCCCUUCUUGCCUUCAGAACCCCAAUUUACAGAAGAAAAAAGAAAAAAAAAAACCUUAGAAAAGUCGAGCAGGGCCAAUACUAGUUACUUUUGGCACAAAGGUCUUGCGGUAUGUUUUUUAAUGGAGGGGGUGGGAGUGGGGUGAGGUGUGGGAGGUAUUUGAGUGAGGAGAGAGAUCAAUAAUAUCUCUGAUACUAACGUCUAAGGAUAAUCGUUUGAGAAUUGGGAUGCUUUUGACCAAGUACUUCCAACCUCUAGACGGAAAAGACACUGUGUAAAUACUUGUGUGAUCAAAUACUGGUCUGAUGUGUCAUUAUUGUUUUUUUCAGUGACCCUCAACUUUGAUAGAUGGGGACAGUGGGGUCCUGGAGAGAGCAUGGUCACUUAGCGUUACUUCGAUGCACGUCACAGCCGAACACAAAACAAUGUCCCCCACUUAACACAAUAAACACUGGGGACUCACUGCCUUGUGAGUUCCUCUGAGGGAACCUGCUUUCCCUAGAUAAGAGAUCAAAAGUAGAGGGUAUAUUUUCAUUUUCUGGGUGUCUGUCUUUAAAUCAGGCUUAGUGAAGCAAGGUGUCUCCUAAAUUUUUGGUUGAGGGCAAGGGGACACAGGUUUUUUCCAAAUCUUAUUUUCCCUUUUUAAAAGGUCAGAUUUGUGAGUGACACAGGGAUGAACUGAGCAACUGUGAAAUUCUCAUUGCUUCAGAGUGACUGGGUAUUGUGGAAAUGGAAAGAAUAGGAAAUUAUAUUUCACACUCCAUGAAGCCUUCUUGCUGCUUCUUCUGGUGAUGGUUUUGGUUCCAUCUUAUAAAAAUGGACUAGAAUGGGAGGGGCAGGAUAAAGCGGAUCUUGAAGACAUAGGUAAGUGUGGAAUGCCCCACUCAGAUCUUCCCUACUGCCUUCUCCACGUUCUGACUCAAAGGUGGGUUGGCCUGUGUGGCUACCAGAGCACAUGCAACUUCAAAUUGAGCUAGUUCUGCAUGUCCUUUAUUAACUCAGCUAGCCACUCAGCUAGCUAGCUGUUUUGUCCUUUUGAGAUCCCUAUAUCCGUUUCAUUCUGCUCAACGCUUUAUAUAAGCGCACUGGCAGUAAAAAAUUAGAGCCAGGGAAGAGGGUUCCCGCUGAAAAUUUUAUGGAUCAGCUGAGACAAGGGUCAAAUGGCUACCAGGACUUCAGCUAGUAGCUUGGGAAACCAGUUAUUCCAAUUUUUUUUUAACUGAACCCCUAGAUGAUUCUCUUCAAGUUCACUCACGGUAGAACUUUAGCAAGUUUUCUGAAAUGGUUUCCCUGUAGGGGCUGACAAGGGGGGAUGGUCAAAUUUUUCAGCUGGGGAGGCUUUUCGAUUUGGAACCAAACUGAAUUUUGGCUUGCGUCUCUAGAAAAGAAACUGGUCAUGGCUGUGGGGCCCAGAACCCCGAGAGAUGAUAAGCAUUUGCAAUCUUGAGCGCUUAUCUCCUCCUGUAUCUGGCCUUCUUGCAUUUAUAAAGUAAAUCGGGAAAUCUCACUACAACAGGCUUUCCUGUGAGGAGGCUGGCAUUUCCUGCCUGCCCCACUGGGGACAGGAAUGGAGGGAACACACUGCUGAUAUUCAGGUUUUCCCAUUUCAGCCCUGCAGCUGCUGCGGGGGUUAGGGUGGGGGGUGGGGGGGGGGAGAGGGCACCCACCCAGAGAUCAGCAAUGGUGUGAAUUCGAGCUAAGGAGGUCAUUGUUUUCCUGAUACACUUUUCAUACAGCCUUCUUACACAUAAAAUAAGAAAAGAAACACCCAUUGUUACUUAUUUGAACACACACACAUGCCCAGGUACAUAUUCUGCAUAUGUGUGUUGCAUGGAUACCCAGCUGUCUUGCUUUGAUGAAAUUGAUAUAUAUUCUCAUAUACUUCUGACAAACUGCCAUUAAAUUGGUUAUCUUAAAAUAUAA